rnacentral:lncRNA from 10 species
AGGGCCUUGCAAAGAAACUGGAUAAGAGAGCAGACAACUUUUGGUGGAUAAUACAACAUCCUUGGUGAUUACUGGCAUCCAUGAUCCAGGAAGUCCCCUGGAAAAUUCAAAUUGUUAUUAUAACUCACAGUGGAAUUCAAAAUAAUCCAAAACACAGUAGUAGGACAAUCCCCUGGAGAACAUGGGAGCCAAAUAAAUCACAUUUUGUAGCAUUACUCACCUCACCAUAGGAAAAAUUCUAUCCAGGUGGACAUACAAGGAGCAAGCAGAGAAAUAUGAUACUGGAGAAGACCAUUCUCCCAGGUGACAGAGAAUACAAGGUUCAUCCCAAAGGAUAAGAACAUGGCUGCAAAAGGAACCACUUCCAG